GGAAUUUUUCCAUUCAGAUUGUUGGCAUUGAGGAUAAGCUCUUCAAGCAUUGCUAGAGAACCAAGCUCUGUAGGGAUUUUUCCAGUAAGAUUAUUCCUUUGCAGUUGGAUUAUCCUGAGAUGGGAACAGCGGGUCAGAUUGAGCGGAAAUUCACCUUCUAUUGUAUUGUUGUUGAGACUGAAUUGUUGCAAUCGAAGCAAAUUACCGACUUCCUGUGGAAUUUGACCGUUGAAGCUAUUGUUUUGAAGGUUGAGGAUCCUUCAAAACUCAAGUUGCCAAUAUAUGGUGAUAUUGAU
rnacentral:misc_RNA from 1 species